rnacentral:lncRNA from 1 species
UCUCCACCUCAACCUCAUGCCCACACCAUCUCUUGCUGUGUUACCACGUGGCUUCCUGGGAAUUUCCCUGAUGCCAGUCUUCUCCCCUUUAGAUUCAUGGUCCACACAGCUGCUAAAAGGAUGGUUUUAAAACACAAAUCUCACCAUAUCUCCACCUGCCUAAAGCAUUCCACAGGCUCCCCACUGCCCUUGGGAUAAAGCCCAAACAUAUUACUAUGAAAAGUCCUCCUCAGUCCCUCCAUCCCCAGCCUCACCUUGAGUCACUCACUGAGCUGUGUAGGGGUCUCCACAGGCCAAACAGUCUCAUCCUCGGCUCUGCUGUGACCUUUUCCUGGCAUGUCCUUAUCUCUUUACCCCAUUCACCUUCACCUGGUCAACUCGCAAGAUUCGACUCAGGUUCGUCUCAGCUCCUCCAGCAUCAUUGCCUCCAGGUGGCCUUCCGUGACACGCACGCUCCACAGGUGACCUCGCUGCCCUCCUCUGCAGCCCAGGCCACGCUCCACAGUGCACUCAGGUGACCUGUUUCUGGGUCAGUCUUUCUCCCGCUCUGGGUUAUGAACUUUCCAGGAGCAGACACAGGGUUCUCCUUGCCUCGGUGUGCAGAGCAUCUAGGACAAUGCAUGGUACAAGGCCCAGAUGCCCCCAGGAAUAGCUGAAGUCCCGGGCUGAGAUACGAGCAGAAGACUUCCAGGCAGAGGAAAUCAGAGCUGGACCUGCCGGUGCCGCCAUCUGUUCUUCAGUGCUGACCUAAGAGUUGGGGGGCCCCGUGGGACUGGGGGAAUCAUCCAGCUGUGGGUUUAUGUUUUACGUGGACUGAAUUCGGUCAAUGUCCCUGACUUUCAGGCUUUGACAGUCAUCCUGUAAUGUUUACCUCUAUCAGAAACCUCAACUGUAUGCUCUUUAAUAUGUUUUAUUAAUAUUAAUAAAGUUAAUUCCACUUAAUCUAAUUACGUAGUUUGAUGGCAUUCUUUGGAUCACUGUGGAUCCCCUCAGCACGCCUGCCAGGACUUUAGAUCAGGGGUUGCAGAACCUCCGUCUAUUUCAGGCAGCCUGCUCUUGAACGUGGGCCAAACAUUUCUUUGUGGCUUUAGAACUGCUCUACA